GACGAACGCUGGCGGCGUGCUUAACACAUGCAAGUCGAGCGAUGAAGUUUCUUCGGAAAUGGAUUAGCGGCGAACGGGUGAGUAACAUGUGAGGAAUCUGCCCUUCACUUUGGAAUAACUCCGGGAAACCGGAGCUAAUACCGGAUACGAACUCUGGCGGCAUCGCCGGGGUUGGAAAGGUUUUCGGUGAAGGAUGACCUCGCGGCCUAUCAGCUUGUUGGUGAGGUAAUGGCUCACCAAGGCGACGACGGGUAGCCGGCCUGAGAGGGCGACCGGCCACACUGGGACUGAGACACGGCCCAGACUCCUACGGGAGGCAGCAGUGGGGAAUAUUGCACAAUGGGCGCAAGCCUGAUGCAGCGACGCCGCGUGAGGGAUGACGGCCUUCGGGUUGUAAACCUCUUUCAGCACCGACGAAGCGCAAGUGACGGUAGGUGCAGAAGAAGGACCGGCCAACUACGUGCCAGCCGCCGCAGUAA
rnacentral:rRNA from 1 species